ACGGUAGCACAGAGAGCUUGCUCUCGGGUGACGAGUGGCGGACGGGUGUUUAUUGUCUGGGAAACUGCCUGAUGGAGGGGGAUAACUACUGGAAACGGUAGCUAAUACCGCAUAACGUCGCAAGACCAAAGAGGGGGACCUUCGGGCCUCUUGCCAUCAGAUGUGCCCAGAUGGGAUUAGCUAGUAGGUGGGGUAACGGCUCACCUAGGCGACGAUCCCUAGCUGGUCUGAGAGGAUGACCAGCCACACUGGAACUGAGACACGGUCCAGACUCCUACGGGAGGCAGCAGUGGGGAAUAUUGCACAAUGGGCGCAAGCCUGAUGCAGCCAUGCCGCGUGUAUGAAGAAGGCCUUCGGGUUGUAAAGUACUUUCAGCGGGGAGGAAGGCGAUAAGGUUAAUAACCUUGUCGAUUGACGUUACCCGCAGAAGAAGCACCGGCUAACUCCGUGCCAGCAGCCGCGGUAAUACGGAGGGUGCAAGCGUUAAUCGGAAUUACUGGGCGUAAAGCGCACGCAGGCGGUCUGUCAAGUCGGAUGUGAAAUCCCCGGGCUCAACCUGGGAACUGCAUUCGAAACUGGCAGGCUGGAGUCUUGUAGAGGGGGGUAGAAUUCCAGGUGUAGCGGUGAAAUGCGUAGAGAUCUGGAGGAA
rnacentral:rRNA from 1 species